AGUGAACGCUGGCGGUAGGCCUAACACAUGCAAGUCGAACGGCAGCACAGUAAGAGCUUGCUCUUACGGGUGGCGAGUGGCGGACGGGUGAGGAAUACAUCGGAAUCUACUUUUUCGUGGGGGAUAACGUAGGGAAACGUACGCUAAUACCGCAUACGACCUACGGGUGAAAGCAGGGGAUCUUCGGACCUUGCGCGAUUGAAUGAGCCGAUGUCGGAUUAGCUAGUUGGCGGGGUAAAGGCCCACCAAGGCGACGAUCCGUAGCUGGUCUGAGAGGAUGAUCAGCCACACUGGAACUGAGACACGGUCCAGACUCCUACGGGAGGCAGCAGUGGGGAAUAUUGGACAAUGGGCGCAAGCCGGAUCCAGCCAUACCGCGUGGGUGAAGAAGGCCUUCGGGUUUUAAAGCCCUUUUGUUGGGAAAGAAAAGCAGCAGGUUAAUACCCCGCUGCUCUGACGGUACCCAAAGAAUAAGCACCGGCUAACUUCGUG
rnacentral:rRNA from 1 species